rnacentral:rRNA from 1 species
GACGUAGGGCGCGAGCGUUGUCCGGAUUUAUUGGGCGUAAAGAGCUCGUAGGCGGUCUGUCGCGUCUGCUGUGAAAACUCGGGGCUUAACCCCGGGCCUGCAGUGGGUACGGGCAGACUAGAGUGCGGUAGGGGAGACUGGAAUUCCUGGUGUAGCGGUGAAAUGCGCAGAUAUCAGGAGGAACACCGGUGGCGAAGGCGGUUCUCUGGGCCUUGCCUGACGCUGAGGAGCGAAAGCGUGGGGAGCGAACAGG